UUCGGGUUUUAGUGGCGAACGGGUGAGUAACACGUAAGCAACCUACCCUAAAGACGAGGAUAACCAUUGGAAACAGUGGCUAAGACUGGAUAGGAAGAAAUAAGGCAUCUUUUUUCUUUUAAAAGACCUAGUGAUAGGUAUACUUUAGGAGGGGCUUGCGCCAUAUUAGUUAGUUGGUAGGGUAAUGGCCUACCAAGACGAUGAUGUGUAGCUGGACUGAGAGGUUGAACAGCCACAUUGGGACUGAGACACGGCCCAAACUCCUACGGGAGGCAGCAGUAGGGAAUUUUCGGCAAUGGAGGAAACUCUGACCGAGCAACGCCGCGUGAACGACGAAGUACUUUGGUAUGUAAAGUUCUUUUAUCAAGGAAGAAAAGCAAGUGGUGAACCAUUUGUUUGCCGGUACUUGAUGAAUAAGCCCCGGCUAAUUAUGUGCCAGCAGCCGCGGUAAGACAUAAGGGGCAAGUGUUAUCCGGAAUUAUUGGGCGUAAAGGGUGCGUAGGCGGUCUAGUAAGUCAGUGGUGUAAUGGCAACGCUCAACGUUGUCCGGCUAUUGAAACUGCUAAACUUGAGUUAGAUAGAGGCGAGUGGAAUUCCAUGUGUAGCGGUAAAAUGCGUAAAUAUAUGGAGGAACACCAGAGGCGUAGGCGGCUCGCUGGGUCUUAACUGACGCUGAGGCACGAAAGCGUGGGGAGCAAACAGGAUUAGAUACCCUGGUAGUCCACGCCGUAAACGAUGAGUACUAAGUGUCGGGUUAAACCGGUACUGAAGUUAACACAUUAAGUACUCCGCCUGAGUAGUACGUACGCAAGUAUGAAACUUAAAGGAAUUGACGGGACUCCGCACAAGCGGUGGAUCAUGUUGUUUAAUUCGAAGAUACCCGAAAAACCUUACCAGGUCUUGACAUGUUUUUGCGAAACGGUAGUAAUAUCGUGGAGGUUAUCAGAAACACAGGUGGUGCAUGGUUGUCGUCAGCUCGUGUCGUGAGAUGUUAGGUUAAGUCCUAAAACGAGCGAAACCCUUAUCGUUAGUUGCCAGCACGUUAUGGUGGGGACUUUAACGAGACUGCCAGUGAUAAAUUGGAGGAAGGUGAGGAUCACGUCAAAUCAGCAUGCCCCUUAUGACCUGGGCUACAAACGUGAUACAAUGGCUGUUACAAAGGGUAGCUGAAACGCAAGUUCUUGGCCAAUCCCCAAAAACAGUCUCAGUCCGGAUUGAAGUCUGCAACUCGACUUCAUGAAGUUGGAAUCGCUAGUAAUCGCGAAUCAGCAUGUCGCGGUGAAUACGUUCUCGGGGUUUGUACACACCGCCCGUCAAACCACGAAAGUUGGCAAUACCCCAAAACGGUAGCCUAACUCGUUUAUCGAGAGGGCGCUGUCUAAGGUAGGGUCGAUGAUUGGGGUUAAGUCGUAACAAGGUAUCCCUACCGGAAGGUGGGGAUGGAUCACCUCCUUUCUAAGGAAACCAAUAAAAUCAAUCAUCUUCAGUUUUGAAAGACUUAGGAUAACUAAGUUUUUCUUCGUGACUUCACGAAGGGCCUAUAGCUCAGUUGGUUAGAGCACACGCCUGAUAAGCGUGAGGUCGGUGGUUCAAGUCCAUUUAGGCCCACCAGAGUUAUAGGUGUCGUAAGAACACAAAUUCUUUGAAAAUUAGGUAAAUAAU
rnacentral:rRNA from 1 species